rnacentral:rRNA from 1 species
GACGAACGCUGGCGGCGUGCUUAACACAUGCAAGUCGAGCGGUAAGGCCCUUUCGGGGGUACGACGAGCGGCGAACGGGUGAGUAACACGUGGGUGACCUGCCCUCAGCUCUGGGAGUAAGCCUGGGAAACCGGGGUACUAAUACUGGAUAUGACUCCAUGACGCAUGUUGUGGGGUGGAAAGCCUUGUGCGGCUGAGGAUGGGCCCGCGGCCUAUCAGCUUGUUGGUGGGGUGANGGCCUACCAAAGGCGACGACGGGUAGCCGGCCUGAGAGGGCGACCGGCCACACUGGGACUGAGACACGG